CAUGAAUCUCCUGCAUCUGCUUAUCCAACCAGACAAGAUAUUGCACAACAGCUGCACCAUCACGAAUGUGUGCCUUUUUCAAGCCCUCCAACUCAACAGGGUUCUUUAAAGCUUUUGCAAGGGCCAGAGGUGAUUGCUUCAGGAGCACUUCCUUAGAAUUCAACUUUGAAUAUAAAGCAUAGCAGCAUGAACCAGGGUCAACCCAUAUUAGCUCAGCUUUAUUGCCUUCUGAUUCAGCUUUAUCAUGUCCUACAAUGCCAAUCUGAUUAGAAUCGAUUUUUACGUCCUUUAUUAACUCAGAAUGAGUUCCUUUGACUACAGAUGUUGAGUCAAGCUGAUUAGAUGCAAGCAAGAGCACAUCUGAGCUCACUGCAGUGUACUCCCGAACUUCAAUUCCAUUCUCCUCAAUAUAAGAGUUUACCUCAGCAGAGACCUUCCUUUUGUCCACAUAAAGGAAGGCAGAGUUGGAUGUUACUAUAGCAAAUGCAUGAACAACCGGACAAUAGGAUACAUCAUUUCCACGAAUAUUAUACAACCAAGCAACCUCAUCAAGUGUUGUAAUGAUCAUACCACGAGCUUUCUCAUGUUUGAACUUUUCUCUCAGAUCCAUCAACUUGUCUGCAACUGAACGACCUGUAUAUUCCAAUGGAUGGAUAAUAAUCGGAUUUGUUUCUGCUGGGGGUCGAUUUUUCCAGAUCUCAUCUACCAAAUUGGUUGUAGUUUGAAUCAGCUUCUGCUGCUUUUCGGCAAAAGCACACUCCCAUCUUUGUGCAGUAUCUACUGAUAUGCACCAUGGAUCAAUACCAACAGCCGCAUGCGCCGGUAGAUUAUCAGCCAUCCAUGUAUCCACUGGAGGGUCUUCUCCCAUACGCAUGAGUGUCCACUGAUCACUGAGUUGUCGUGUUGCCUGCAAGAAAUAUCUUCCAUCCGUCCAUAGCCGGGCUUCAUUCAUUGUAAUAAGCGCCAAACCUGCGCUUCCAGAGAAUCCAGACACAAAUUCCCGCCGCUCGUCCCGCGCAGACACGUACCCCUGCGCUCCCAGAGAACCCAGACACAAAUCCCCGCCGCUCGUCCCGCGCAGACACGUACUCGCUCUGAUGAUAAUCCUCAGAGGGAACAACUAAGGCAUCGAGAGGGGGAGAGUGAGAAGCCAUGAGAGACCUCAAGGAAGUGAGUAUGUCAACCAUGGUUUUCUGUACGGAUCUCCUUUACGAGGAGAUGUUUUUGAUUGAGUUAUGAAGCUCUGCUUCAGAAUUCAGUGGAGAUAAAC
rnacentral:misc_RNA from 1 species